UCGGGAAUUUUGGGCAAUGGGCGAAAGCCUGACCCAGCAACGCCGCGUGAGGGAUGAAGUAUUUCGGUAUGUAAACCUCGAAAGAAUGGGAAGAAUAAAUGACGGUACUAUUUAUAAGCUCCGGCUAACUACGUGCCAGCAGCCGCGGUAAUACGUAGGGAGCAAGCGUUGUUCGGAUUUACUGGGCGUAAAGGGCGCGUAGGCGGCGCGGUAAGUCACUUGUGAAAUCUCUGAGCUUAACUCAGAACGGCCAAGUGAUACUGCUGGGCUAGAGUGCGGAGGAGGCAAGCGGAAUUCUUGGUGUAGCGGUGAAAUGCGUAGAUAUCAAGAGGAACACCUGAGGCGAAGGCGGGUUGCUGGGCCGACACUGACGCUGAUGCGCGAAAGCCAGGGGAGCAAACG
rnacentral:rRNA from 1 species